rnacentral:rRNA from 1 species
AGAGUUUGAUCAUGGCUCAGAUUGAACGCUGGCGGCAGGCCUAACACAUGCAAGUCGAACGGUAACAGGAAGCAGCUUGCUGCUUCGCUGACGAGUGGCGGACGGGUGAGUAAUGUCUGGGAAGCUGCCUGAUGGAGGGGGAUAACUACUGGAAACGGUAGCUAAUACCGCAUAAUGUCGCAAGACCAAAGAGGGGGACCUUCGGGCCUCUUGCCAUCGGAUGUGCCCAGAUGGGAUUAGCUUGUUGGUGGGGUAACGGCUCACCAAGGCGACGAUCCCUAGCUGGUCUGAGAGGAUGACCAGCCACACUGGAACUGAGACACGGUCCAGACUCCUACGGGAGGCAGCAGUGGGGAAUAUUGCACAAUGGGCGCAAGCCUGAUGCAGCCAUGCCGCGUGUAUGAAGAAGGCCUUCGGGUUGUAAAGUACUUUCAGCGGGGAGGAAGGGAGUAAAGUUAAUACCUUUGCUCAUUGACGUUACCCGCAGAAGAAGCACCGGCUAACUCCGUGCCAGCAGCCGCGGUAAUACGGAGGGUGCAAGCGUUAAUCGGAAUUACUGGGCGUAAAGCGCACGCAGGCGGUUUGUUAAGUCAGAUGUGAAAUCCCCGGGCUCAACCUGGGAACUGCAUCUGAUACUGGCAAGCUUGAGUCUCGUAGAGGGGGGUAGAAUUCCAGGUGUAGCGGUGAAAUGCGUAGAGAUCUGGAGGAAUACCGGUGGCGAAGGCGGCCCCCUGGACGAAGACUGACGCUCAGGUGCGAAAGCGUGGGGAGCAAACGGGAUUAGAUACCCUGGUAGUCCACGCCGUAAACGAUGUCGACUUGGAGGUUGUGCCCUUGAGGCGUGGCUUCCGGAGCUAACGCGUUAAGUCGACCGCCUGGGGAGUACGGCCGCAAGGUUAAAACUCAAAUGAAUUGACGGGGGCCCGCACAAGCGGUGGAGCAUGUGGUUUAAUUCGAUGCAACGCGAAGAACCUUACCUGGUCUUGACAUCCACGGAAGUUUUCAGAGAUGAGAAUGUGCCUUCGGGAACCGUGAGACAGGUGCUGCAUGGCUGUCGUCAGCUCGUGUUGUGAAAUGUUGGGUUAAGUCCCGCAACGAGCGCAACCCUUAUCCUUUGUUGCCAGCGGUCCGGCCGGGAACUCAAAGGAGACUGCCAGUGAUAAACUGGAGGAAGGUGGGGAUGACGUCAAGUCAUCAUGGCCCUUACGACCAGGGCUACACACGUGCUACAAUGGCGCAUACAAAGAGAAGCGACCUCGCGAGAGCAAGCGGACCUCAUAAAGUGCGUCGUAGUCCGGAUUGGAGUCUGCAACUCGACUCCAUGAAGUCGGAAUCGCUAGUAAUCGUGGAUCAGAAUGCCACGGUGAAUACGUUCCCGGGCCUUGUACACACCGCCCGUCACACCAUGGGAGUGGGUUGCAAAAGAAGUAGGUAGCUUAACCUUCGGGAGGGCGCUUACCACUUUGUGAUUCAUGACUGGGGUGAAGUCGAACAAGGUA